UAUGGGUCUCUAUGGGUCUCUAUGGGUCUCUGUGGGUCUCUAUGGGACUCUAUGUGGCUCAGUGUAUUGCUAAGUGUCUCUAUGCGUUUCUGUGGGUCCCUAUGGGUCACUAUGGGGCAGCUAUGUGUCCCUAUGGGUCUCUAUGGGGCAAUUAUAGGUCUCUAUGGGUCCCUAUUGGUCUCUAUGGGGUUUCUAUGGGUCCCUAUGGGGCUCAGUGUAUCACUAUGUGUUUCUAUGGGUCUCUAUGGGGCAAUUAUAGGUCAUUAUGGGUCUCUAUGGGUCCCUAUGGGGUCUCAAAGUGUCUCUAUGGGGUCCCUAUGGGUCCCUAUGGGUCUCUAUGGGGUCUCUAUGGGUCCCUUUGGGUCUCUAUGGGUCUCUAUGGGGCAUUAUGGGGUCUCUAUGGGUUCCUAUGUGUCCCUAUGGGUCCUUAUGGGUCUCUAUGGGUCCUUAUGGGGUCCCUAUGGGUCUCUAUAUGUCCCUAUGUGUCCCUAUGAAUCCCUAUGGGUCUCUAUGGGGUCUCUAUGGGUCUCUAUGUGUCUCUAUGGGUCCCUGUGGGUCCCUAUGGGUCCCUAUGGGUCUCUAUGGGGUCCCUAUGGGUCUCUAUGGGGUCCCUAUGGGUCUCUGUGGGUCCCUAUGGGUCUCUAUGGGUCCCUAUAGGUCUCUCUGGGUCUCUAUGUGUCCCUAUGGGUCCCUAUGGGAUCUCUAUGGGUCUCUAUGGGUCUCUAUGGGGUCUCUAUGGGUCUCUAUGUGUCCCUAUGGGUCCCUAUGUAUCCCUAUGUAUCCCCAUGUAUCUCUAUGGUUCCCCAUGUAUCCCUAUGGGUCCCUAUGGGUCUCAAUGUAUCGCAAUGGGGCUCAAUGUAUCCCUAUCUAUCUCUAUGGGUCUCUAUGGGGUCUCUAUGGGUCUCUAUGUGUCUCUAUGGGUCCCUAUGGGUCCCUAUGGGUCUCUAUGGGUCCCUAUGGGUCUCUAUGGGGUCCCUAUGGGUCUCUAUGGGGUCCCUAUGGGUCUCUAUGUGUCUCUAUGGGUCCCUAUGAGUCCCUAUGGGUCUCUAUGGGUCUCUAUGUGUCCCUAUGGGGUCUCUAUGUGUCUCUAUGGGUCCCUAUGGGUCUCUAUGUGUCUCUAUGGGUCCUUAUGGGUCCCUAUGGGUCCCGAUGGGUUCCUAUGGGUCCCUAUGGGUCUCUAUGGGUCCCUAUGUAUCCCUAUGUAUCUCUAUGGGUCUCUAUGGGGUCUCUAUGGGUCCCUAUGUGUCCCUAUGGGUCUCUAUGGGUCCCUAUGGGUCUCUAUGGGUCUCUAUGGGUCCCUAUGGGUCCCUAUAGGUCCCUAUGUAUCCCUAUGUAUCUCUAUGGGUCUCUAUGGGUCUCUAUGGGUUCCCCAUGUAUCUCAAUGUAUCUCUAUGGUACUGACGCGAUGAGCCGCACUCUGCCGUUAGGGCGCCCCCUGCCGUUGGCCGCCAGCAGCAGCAGUUCCGGUCGGCCGCCAUCUUGGUUCCGGGACGCGGCACCGACAGCAACGAACGACACGGGGUCACCGCUACGGGUCACCUGGGGGGGUCAAAGGCCGCUGACAGCCGUUGUGACGCUGAGGGCUGCACCAUGACCAGUGACAUAGAGCACAGCAUGGACCAGCUGUGAGUUAAUACCCCCUUAUUAAUUACCCCCUUUUUAAUUACCCCACUUAUUAAUUACCCCCCUUAUUAAUUACCACCCUUAUUACCCCCUUAUUAAUUACCCCCCCCUUUAUUACCCCCCUUAUUAAUUAACCCCAUUAUUAAUUACCCCCCUUAUUUAAUUACCCCCCUUAUUAAUUACCCCCCUUAUUUAAUUUCCCCCCUUAUUUACCCCCUUAUUAAUUACCCCCCCUAUUAAUUACCCCCCUUAGUACUCCCUUAUUAAUUACCCCCUUUAUUUAAUUUACCCCCCCUUAUUAAUUACCCCCCCUUAUUAAUUACCCCCCUUAUUAAUUACCCCCCCUUAUUAAUUAACCCCUUGAUUAAUUACCCCCCCUUAUUAAUUUACCCCCCUUAUUUAAUUACCCCCCUAAAUUCCCCCCCUUAUUACCCCCCCUUAGUAAUGGCCCCCCCCCAUAUAACCCAUAGAGGCCCAUAGGGACCCAUAGAGACCCUAAGACCCAUAGAGUCCAUAGAGACCCAUGGGACCAAUAGAGACCCAUAGAGACCCAUAGGGACCAUAGAGAAAUAUCGGGGGACCCCAUAGAGACACCAUAGGAACCAUUAGGGACCCAUAGAGACCCAUUAGGGACCCAUAGAGACCCAUUAGAGAACCCAUAGAGACCCUUAGGGACCCAUAGAGGACACCAUGAGAAAAAAAGAAAAACCCAUUAGGACCAUAGAGACCCCCCCCCAUAGAGACCCAUAGGGACCCAUACGAGACCCCAUAGAGACCCAUAGGGACCAAUCAGAGACCCAAGAUGACCCAUAGGGACACAUAGGAGAAUUGCGGACCCCAUAGAGACCCAUAGGGAAACCAUAAGGGACCCAUAGAGACCCAUAGGGACCAAUAGAGGACCCAUAGAGACCCAUAGGAGCCCGCAUGGGGACCCAUAGAGACCCGCAUAGAAGACCCAUAUGGACCCAUAG
ensembl:lncRNA